AUACUUGUAAAGGAACUCGGCAAAUUGUCUUCAUAAGUUAGACGAUAUGAAGAACCAUUGAAUUUUAAGACUUGUACUGUGCCCUAAAGGCUAUAUUCAUUAUUGGAUAUUUCGGUAUAUAGUUCACUAUACUGGGCAUUUCCGAUAGGAUAUGUAUAAAGGUAAAGGAGUAAAAUUAAAAUUCCGGUGGUGUCACAAAAUCGGAGGCCCCGACUGUUUACUUAAAACACAGCUUUCUGCUACGAAUAAUAUCUUUGUAUAGAAAGCGAAUUUUGCCCAAUGCCAUUAAUAUAAAGUUGAUAAGCGCAUAGCGUAUUUAUUAACUGAAGUUCUGGUCAAUGGCGGUCUUAUCUAUGAGGAUCCUAAGGUAGCAAAAUUAAUUGUCCAUUAAAUGUGGUCCUGACUGAAUAAAGUAACGAUGGUCUCACUGUCUCUACAAGUAUCUCAGUGAAAUUGAAUUAGCCGUGCAGAUGCGGUUUAACUUCG
rnacentral:rRNA from 1 species